rnacentral:lncRNA from 1 species
AGAAGCUGAGAGAGCCACAGGCAGGGUCCUCGCCAGCCGUGGCCGAGGGGCCUGAUCUGUGGUUUUAACAGCCAGCGUCAAGGCGAUUGGGCAGGCGAUGCUUGAUGGGGUUGGCCCCUCACUAGGGACACACAGAGAAGUCCCACGAAGCGACAAGUCACCUUCAACAACCCCCGCCCAGCUGGGACCUGGGGAGACCAUCAAGUCACCUUCAACAACCCCCGCCCAGCUGGGACCUGGGGAGACCGUGGGACUCACCCCUGUUCCUGAAAGGAGAGUAGCUGUGGCUCCAGUUCCUUCUCCGCCCUUAGAGUCUCCCCAGGUCCAAGGAGAGUAAGUGGCCAAAGGAGCUAGGGAAUCCCAGAGGAUCUUGCUAGAACAGGACAAACCUGCUGGACCCCUCUCCCAAGCUCUGUGGCCUCCCUCCAAGCCUAGAAGUUCUGACCUAGACCUACCUCAAAAAUCCAGGAAGUCCUCCUGGCCCCUGUGGAGUGCUGGGCUGCCCCAGGGGGACGUCAGUAUCUGCUGCUUCCUCCAGGGAGCCGAGAGGGGCUCCCCAAGGCCAGGGCCCAGUGGAAGCCCAUCCUGCUGCCUGGGCAGCUGAGCCUGGGCACCAGGACCAGGCCUCAGACAAAUGGGAAAUGCAUGGGCCACUGUUGCUACCAGCUGACCCUGGCAUGCAUCCCGAGCCUUACAGGACAAACAGUCAUUCAGGCAGCAGCUGAGCAGCUUGUGUUGGCCACCAACCCUAAAAUGUGUCGAAGCAUGCUAGUUGUUUGUGAAAGAUGCCAGGUCCAUUCCAGGUGUCCCCACCCACCUUCGCCUGGCGAGCUGUGUGCAGUGCUGCCUCCUCCUUGGGCUGUGGGAACCCCCCUGCCUUGUUGACACCAGGAAAUGCUCUUGUUCGCAGCGCCCUGUAAGCUGCCCGUGGUGCAAUCCCUGACCAGGCUGCUUCUUUCUUCAGUCUCACAGAAUCUUGAGCUGGUUCUCAUACACAGGACUGGGCCGUUCCAAACCAGAUGGACAUGUAAUUUACACUAGAGGACCGUGUACACUGUGAGCCAGAGAAAAUGUGCACCAGGCUGAGCACAGGGAGGGUUUAGGAAAGCAUCUUUCCCAGGACUCUUCUUGACAGGUCUCGUACCCCUAGGGUGGAAAGACUCAUCUCUACUCCUGACUGCUGUGUGACCAUGAGUAACUCACCUGACCUAUCUGGACUUCAUUUCUUCAUCCGCCCUCCUGAGUUGGAAAUCUUUGUCCUACCCUCCUUAUGGGG